AUUUGGGUUUUGAAGUAGUGAGUGUCGUCUUCAGAGUUGUUUUCCUGGAGGCGCUGAUACCGGAUUUGGUGGAGAAGGAUGGUAUGAAUGUGUUUCUAGGUGGCUGCCUGGACAAGGGAGUUCAGCCUUUGGGAGAUAAAGCAGAAUAUAAAGGGUCUCACUCUGUCACCCAGGCUGGAGUGCAGUGGCGCAAUCUCAGCUCACUGUAGACUCAACCUCCUGGGCUCAAGUGAUUCUCCCACCUCAGCCUUCUGACUUUGCCUCGGGAGAGAUAAAGAGAGUUGAUUCCGAGUACAGCUGGGCCACUGGGACUGCAUUCCUGCCUGUGAGGAGGAGAGCCUGUCAAUGAGCCAGAAGGGGCUAACAGAGGUUGUACUUACAGGUUCUCAAGUUUUGCUAUCAUAAACACCCAAAGUACACCACGCCUGCAAGCUGAAGGCUGACAGGAUAGAAAACUUGCACAAGACAGUUAACAUUGUAGCGAUCAUCUUGCCAAACAGAGGGCAGCAAUGCUUGUGUCUUGGUCGGAAAGGAGUUGGAGUGAAGUCACACAGGCAACCUUCAGUUGCAGGGUCAAGAAGAGCCACAUUCAAACCUGACCAUAUGAAAUAAUUAUCACCCAGAGAUAUUGGACUUGGAAUAGAAUAGAGAAACCAGAUGCUAUUUCUACGCCAUCUUCAUUUAGAGAGAGUGUAAGUAGGGGCUUUUGCUCUUAUUCUUGGUGUUGAAUGUGGGAUCAUUUGUAAUGUUACUUGGGAUGUUAUUAGAACUGAGACGGAAAUGCAGGUUUGCUGUAGGGGGGUCACAAACAGUGAUAUGCUGGGCAGCCCAGGCAUAGCAAAGUGGGGGCAGUGGCAGCUAUUGGUUUUGGCUGUCCCACAGGGUUCCAGUGGGGAUUUUCCCCAUCCUCAUCCUCUGGAUAAGAGGACCAAGGGAAGGCCUAGUUAUUCCUUUUUUCUGUAGAUACAGUGAUUGGGUGACUCAGAGGCUGAUGUGUAGCCUAAACAACUCCAGUUAGAAUAAUUCCCUGAAAUUAACUGCAAGGUAUAUCUUGUCACAUCCCUGCU